rnacentral:rRNA from 1 species
CAAUAGCGUAUAUUAAAGUUGUUGCGGUUAAAAAGCUCGUAGUUGGAUUUCUGUUGAGGGACGUCGGUCCGCACUAUGUGCGUGUAUCUGACUGUGCCUCGGCAUCCUCUCGAAUAUCGGUCUGCGCUUCAUUGCGUGGGUCGGACUUCGGGACUUUUACUUUGAGGAAAUUAGAGUGUUCACGGCAGGCAAGCGCCCUGAAUAUAUUAGCAUGGAAUAAUGAUAUAGGAUCUUGGUCCUAUUUUGUUGGUUUCUAGGGCUAAGAUAAUGAUUAAUAGGGACAAUUGGGGGCAUUCGUAUUAACGCGUCAGAGGUGGAAUUCUUGGAUUGCGUUACGACGAACUACUGCGAAAGCAUUUGCCAAGGAUGUUUNCAUUGA